AUGAACGCUGGCGGCGUGCUUAAUGCAUGCAAGUCGAACGAGAACCGUUUUGUAGGUAACUACAGAGAGACUUCUAGUGGCAACGGGUGAGUAACACGUGAGAAACCUGCCCCGAAGACCCGGGAUAGCCCAUGGAAACGUGGAUUAAUACCGGAUACCCUCACGGAAUCGCAUGGCUCUGUGAGGAAAUGCUCCGGCGCUUUGGGAUGGUCUCGCGGCCUAUCAGCUUGUUGGUGAGGUAACGGCUCACCAAGGCACUGACGGGUAGCUGGUCUGAGAGGACGAUCAGCCACACUGGGACUGAGACACGGCCCAGACUCCUACGGGAGGCAGCAGCAGGGAAUAUUGCACAAUGGGCGCAAGCCUGAUGCAGCGACGCCGCGUGAGGGAUGAAGGCUUUCGGGUUGUAAACCUCUUUCAGUGGGGAAGAAGCGCAAGUGACGGUACCCACACAAGAAGGCCCGGCCAACUACGUG
rnacentral:rRNA from 1 species